UACGUAGGUGGCGAGCGUUGUCCGGAUUUACUGGGCGUAAAGGGAGCGUAGGCAGACUUUUAAGUGAGAUGUGAAAUACCCGGGCUCAACCUGAGUGCUGCAUUUCAAACUAGAAGUCUAGAGUGCAGGAGAAGAAAGUGGAAUUCCUAGUGUAGCGGUGAAAUGCGUAGAGAUUAGGAAGAACACCAGUGGCGAAGGCGACUCUCUGGACUGUAACUGACGCUGAGGCUCGAAAGCGUGGGGAGCAAACAGG
rnacentral:rRNA from 1 species